AGUUAGAUGGCUGAAAUAUAAGCUUUAAACUGUAAAUUUAACGAUGGAAGAUUUGUGACUUCCUCUAACUA
rnacentral:tRNA from 1 species